GCCUAGCUGGCUUGGUCAAUAGAGCAAACAACUCUUGAUCUCAGGGUUGUGGGUUCAAGUCCCACGCUGGGUA
rnacentral:tRNA from 1 species